AAGUCGUAACAAGGUUUCCGUAGGUGAACCUGCGGAAGGAUCAUUAUUGAAUUAAAACUUGGUUGGGUUGUUGCUGGCUUUUAGAAGCAUGUGCACGCUCACUCCAUUUUUAACCACCUGUGCACACAAUGUAGGCCUGGAUGGAUUAUUCGAGGAAACUCGGUUUGAGAACUGUUUUCAGAGCUGUUCUUGCGUUCAGGUCUAUGUAUUUUCAACAUAUACCCUAUAACAAGUAAUAGAAUGUUCAUUUAUAGGCCUUUGUUGCCUUUAAAACCUAAUACAACUUUCAACAACGGAUCUCUUGGCUCUC
rnacentral:misc_RNA from 1 species